rnacentral:rRNA from 1 species
CCUACGGGUGGCUGCAGUGGGGAAUAUUGGACAAUGGGCGAAAGCCUGAUCCAGCCAUGCCGCGUGUGUGAAGAAGGCCUUCGGGUUGUAAAGCACUUUCAUUGGGGAAGAAAGCCUUGGGGCUAAUACCCUCGAGGAAGGACAUCACCCACAGAAGAAGCACCGGCUAACUCCGUGCCAGCAGCCGCGGUAAUAGGAGGGUGCGAGCGUUAAUCGGAAUUACUGGGCGUAAAGCGCGCGUAGGCGGUCUGAUAAGCCGGUUGUGAAAGCCCCGGGCUCAACCUGGGAACGGCAUCCGGAACUGUCAGGCUAGAGGGCAGGAGAGGAAGGUAGAAUUCCCGGUGUAGCGGUGAAAUGCGUAGAUAUCGGGAGGAAUACCAGUGGCGAAGGCGGCCUUCUGGACUGACACUGACGCUGAGGUGCGAAAGCGUGGGUAGCAAACAGGAUUAGAUACCCGGGUAGUC